rnacentral:rRNA from 1 species
AGGGAAUCUUCGGCAAUGGACGGAAGUCUGACCGAGCAGCGCCGCGUGAGUGAAGAAGGUUUUCGGAUCGUAAAGCUCUGUUGUAAGAGAAGAACGGGUGUGAGAGUGGAAAGUUCACACUGUGACGGUAUCUUACCAGAAAGGGACGGCUAACUACGUGCCAGCAGCCGCGGUAAUACGUAGGUCCCGAGCGUUGUCCGGAUUUAUUGGGCGUAAAGCGAGCGCAGGCGGUUAGAUAAGUCUGAAGUUAAAGGCUGUGGCUUAACCAUAGUACGCUUUGGAAACUGUUUAACUUGAGUGCAAGAGGGGAGAGUGGAAUUCCAUGUGUAGCGGUGAAAUGCGUAGAUAUAUGGAGGAACACCGGUGGCGAAAGCGGCUCUCUGGCUUGUAACUGACGCUGAGGCUCGAAAGCGUGGGGAGCAAACAGGAUUAGAUACCCUGGUAGUCCACGCCGUAAACGAUGAGUGCUAGGUGUUAGACCCUUUCCGGGGUUUAGUGCCGUAGCUAACGCAUUAAGCACUCCGCCUGGGGAGUACGACCGCAAGGUUG